rnacentral:rRNA from 1 species
UGGGGAAUCUUGCACAAUGGGCGCAAGCCUGAUGCAGCAACGCCGCGUGCGGGAAGACGGCCCUAGGGUUGUAAACCGCUUUCAGGAGGGAAGAAAAUGACGGUACCUCCAGAAGAAGGUGCGGCCAACUACGUGCCAGCAGCCGCGUGACACGUAGGCACCAAGCGUUAUCCGGAUUUAUUGGGCGUAAAGAGCUCGUAGGCGGUUCGGUAAGUCGGGUGUGAAAUCCAAGGCUCAACCUUGGGACGCCACCCGAUACUGCUGUGACUCGAGUGCAGUAGGGGGAAGCAGGGAAUUCCUGGUGUAGCGGUGAAAUGCGCAGAUAUCAGGAGGAACACCAGUGGCGAAGGCGCUGCUCUGGGCUGUAACUGACGCUGAGGAGCGAAAGCAUGGGUAGCAAAACAGGAUUAGAUACCCUGGUAGUCCAUGCCGUAAACGUUGGGCACUAGGUGUGGGUCUCAACCAACGAGAUCCGCGCCGUCGCUAACGCAUUAAGUGCCCCGCCUGGGGAGUACGGUCGCAA